AUUGAACGCUGGCGGCAUGCCUUACACAUGCAAGUCGAACGGUAACAGGUCUUCGGAUGCUGACGAGUGGCGAACGGGUGAGUAAUACAUCGGAACGUGCCCGAUCGUGGGGGAUAACGAAGCGAAAGCUUUGCUAAUACCGCAUAAGAUCUACGGAUGAAAGCAGGGGACCGCAAGGCCUUGCGCGAACGGAGCGGCCGAUGGCAGAUUAGGUAGUUGGUGGGAUAAAAGCUUACCAAGCCGACGAUCUGUAGCUGGUCUGAGAGGACGACCAGCCACACUGGGACUGAGGCACGGCCCAGACUCCUACGGGAGGCAGCAGUGGGGAAUUUUGGACAAUGGGCGAAAGCCUGAUCCAGCCAUGCCGCGUGCAGGAUGAAGGCCUUCGGGUUGUAAACUGCUUUUGUACGGAACGAAAAGACUCUGGUUAAUACCUGGGGUCCAUGACGGUACCGUAAGAAUAAGCACCGGCUAACUACGUG
rnacentral:rRNA from 1 species